rnacentral:rRNA from 1 species
CGGCUCACCAAGGCGACGAUGCGUAGCCGACCUGAGAGGGUGAUCGGCCACACUGGGACUGAGACACGGCCCAGACUCCUACGGGAGGCAGCAGUAGGGAAUCUUCCGCAAUGGACGAAAGUCUGACGGAGCAACGCCGCGUGAGUGAUGAAGGUUUUCGGAUCGUAAAACUCUGUUGUUAGGGAAGAACAAGUACCGUUCGAAUAGGGCGGUACCUUGACGGUACCUAACCAGAAAGCCACGGCUAACUACGUGCCAGCAGCCGCGGUAAUACGUAGGUGGCAAGCGUUGUCCGGAAUUAUUGGGCGUAAAGCGCGCGCAGGCGGUUUCUUAAGUCUGAUGUGAAAGCCCCCGGCUCAACCGGGGAGGGUCAUUGGAAACUGGGGAACUUGAGUGCAGAAGAGGAGAGUGGAAUUCCACGUGUAGCGGUGAAAUGCGUAGAGAUGUGGAGGAACACCAGUGGCGAAGGCGACUCUCUGGUCUGUAACUGACGCUGAGGCGCGAAAGCGUGGGGAGCGAACAGGAUUAGAUACCCUGGUAGUCCACGCCGUAAACGAUGAGUGCUAAGUGUUAGAGGGUUCCGCCC